rnacentral:piRNA from 1 species
UGAGGUGGCAGAUGGCAAAGGACAAAGU